rnacentral:rRNA from 1 species
AUGCAUUUUGACGGCUCUAAAAUGCUGGCCGGAUUGGGAGCGGGUGUUGUCCUAACAUCCCCCAUCGGAGACACGGUUCAGUACGUCCUCCAAAUAUUAUACACAGACUCCAACAAUGCAGCCGAAUACGAGGCUCUGUUGCAUGGUCUUCGGAUGGCAGUCUACAUGGGCAUCCAACGCCUCGAAGUGCGCGGGGACUCGAACCUCGCAAUAUCUCAGGUAAAUAGAGACUUUGAUGCCAAGGACCCGAAAAUGGCGGCCUAUCACAAUGUCGUCCUCAAAAUGUCAGCUCGGUUCGAGGGGCUCGAAUUCCACCAUGUGGUUAGAGAAAAUAACAAGCGGCCGAUAUCCUCGCCCGCAUCGAUGCUAAACGUGACCCCGUCCCACCUAAUAUCUUCUUAG